GAACGCACAUUGCGCCCGCUAGUAUUCUGGCGGGCAUGCCUGUUCGAGCGUCAUUUCAACCAUCAAGCCCUAGGCUUGUGUUGGGGCCCUGCGGCCGUCCGCAGCCCCCUAAAAACAGUGGCGGGCUCGCUAUAUACCGAGUGCAGUAGUUUACUCUUCGCUCAGGACAUGUAGUGGGUUCUUGCCGUAAAACCCCCCAUUUUUUAAUGAUUGACCUCGGAUUAGGUAGGGAUACCCGCUGAACUUAAG
rnacentral:misc_RNA from 1 species